rnacentral:rRNA from 1 species
UAGGGAAUAUUGGACAAUGGUUGCAAGACUGAUCCAGCCAUGCCGCGUGCAGGAAGAAGGCUUUCUGAGUUGUAAACUGCUUUUGCCAGGGGAUAAAAAGUCCCUGCGGGGAAAAUUGAAGGUACCUGGUGAAUAAGCCACGGCUAACUACGUGCCAGCAGCCGCGGUAAUACGUAGGUGGCAAGCGUUGUCCGGAUUUAUUGGGUUUAAAGGGUGCGUAGGCGGUCCUGUAAGUCAGUUGUGAAAUACGGCAGCUUAACUGUCGAGGUGCAAUUGAUACUGCGGGACUAGAGUACUGAUGAGGUAAGCGGAAUGGACGGUGUAGCGGUGAAAUGCUUAGAUAUCGUCCAGAACACCGAUAGCGAAGGCAGCUUACUAAGGAGUAACUGACGCUGAGGCACGAAAGUGUGGGGAUCAAACAGGAUUAGAUACCCUGGUAGUCCACACUGUAAACGAUGAUCACUCGAUGUUGGCGAUACACAGCCAGCGUCUUAGCAAAAGCGAUAAGUGAUCCACCUGGGGAGUACGCCGGCAACGGUGA